rnacentral:rRNA from 1 species
GACAGAGGGUGCAAACGUUGUUCGGAUUUACUGGGCGUAAAGCGCGUGUAGGCGGCUUGGCAAGUCGGAUGUGAAAGCCCACGGCUCAACCGUGGAAGCGCAUCCGAAACUGCUUCGCUCGAGUCUCGGAGAGGAAGGUGGAAUGCUUGGUGUAGCGGUGGAAUGCGCAGAUAUCAGGAGGAACACCGGUGGCGAAGGCGGGUCUCUGGGCAGUAACUGACGCUGAGGAGCGAAAGCGUGGGGGGCGAACAGG